GAAAUUGCCACUGCGGCAAAAUGCAGCUUUUCCUACCAGCGAAAGAACAGGGGUGGGGAGCAGGGGAGCGACUGUUUAGAUGUCUCCAGUGGCCCAGGUCAGUGAGAUUGAGGGGGUCAGCAGGGGCCAUAAGCAAGCGACAAGGAAAAAACAAAAUACGGUGAGAAGAUUACUACAGACGCAGACUGCAGCCAGGAAAUCAGAAGACGUUUAUUUCUUGAGAGGAGAGCAAUGACCAAUCUCGAUAAAAUAGUGAAGAGUAGAGACAUCACACUGGCAAUGAAGGUUCGCAUAGUUAAAGCAAUGGUAUUCCCUGUAGUAACCUAUGGAUGCAAGAGCUGGACCAUAAGAAAGGCUGAGCGAAGGAAGAUAGGUGCUUUUGAACUGUAGUGUUGACGGAAAAUUCUCAGUGCCUUGGACUGCAAGAAGAUCCAACCAGUCCAUACUCCAGGAAAUAAUGCCCGACUGCUCACUGGAGUGAAGGAAUAAACUGAACGAAUAAACAACAACAAUGGCCAGAAAGACAAACAAACAGUGAAAAUUCCCAUAUUGAACUUUGUAUACAUAAUCACACCAAUAAAAUGAAUAUAUAUAUAUAUAUAUAUAUAUAUAUAUAUAUAUAUAUAUAAAUGUAAUGUUCAUUUUACUGUGGAGUAAACAACAAAACCACUGAACCAAAUCACACCAAAUUUGACCACAAAAGACAGUCAUCCAAAAUAUGUCUUUCAAUUAAAAAAACCCUAGAAAAAUAGUCCAAAUUACAAAGGAUGAGGAAAAGCCUUUCUCCCCCUGCCAGUUAGAAAGGUAGGCUCUGCUGCCUUUAGCCCCCCCCCCCUGCCUUUAGGCCCCGUCCCCUUUGUAUCCUUUUCUUAACUCAUCUUGGUUUUCUAGGCUUAUAUAUAUAUAUAUACACUAGCUGUGCUCGGCCACGCGUUGCUGUGGCGUUGCCUGGUGGUGUUGGUGAGAAAUUGUUGAGAUAGUGGUGGUAUUGAAUGUCUGUUGUAUGGUUGUCUUUAUGUUUAGUAUGCAUUUGGUUGUUUGUGUACUGUGAAAGUGGUGAGGGUAGAGGGGGUCUAUGUCCCUGUGUAGUACUGUAUAGUAUUUAUACGUUGGCCAUGUGUUGUGAAUGCUUGGAUUGUAUCCUGCUGCAUAGUAGAAAGGGUUGGGAUGGAUGGCCCUUAGCGGUCUCUCCAAACUCUUGUGAGGCCAAACUGUGCCUAUCCCUUGGGCUGAGUAGGUUGCUAGGAGACCAAGUGGGCAGAGCUUAGCCCUCUAACUGGCAGCAAUUGGAUAAAGACAAUUAUUGCUCUCCCUCUAAUUAAGACUUUAUUUUUCUUUUCUUUUUGUUGUAUCAACCUAGAGCUGUGGAUGAUGGGUUGUGUUGUCAAAUUUCGAGGUUGGGGGGCCUGUAGUUUUGUUGUUUUGUCCGGUGCCCUGAUUCCAUCACUCUUUUAUAUAUAUAGAUACACAUACACACAGUAGAGUCUCACUUAUCCAACAUAAGCGGGCCAGCAGAACGCUGGUUAGGCAAAAAUGUUGGAUAAUAAGGAGGGAUAAUGACAAGUUUAUUAAACAUCAAAUUAUGUUAUGAUUUUACAAAUUAAGCAGCAAAACAUCAUGUUUUACAACAAAACGACAGAAAAAGCAAUUCAAUACACGGUAACGUUAUGUAGUAAUUACUAUAUUUAUGAAUUUAGCAAUGUAUUGAAAGCAUUGACUACAAAACAUUGGUAACUAAUAAAUUGACUACAAAUAAAGGUAGAAUUGCAUAAAAGGAACUUACAGUAGCAACAUUAUCGGAAGUUAAAUCCAUAAAAAGUUCAGUCCUUGCUGCCUAGAGAAACAGCUGUGGAUCUAGGCGAGAGACAGACUGUGUUGGAUAAUCCAGUAGGUUGGAUAAGCAAAGGUUGGAUAAGCGAGACUCUACUAUAUAUGUGUGUGUGUGUGUGUGUGUGUGAUGAAAGUUUUUGUUGUAAAAUUUGGACCAUCUUUUUGUUUUCAUGAGACAUUACUCCAGUUGCCCAAUGACGAUUGCAGUACCUGGUGUGCUGUUUCCUGGGGAUGAGAAGAUAUUUUAAAUGUCUCCAAUAGGUAGGCCAUUUUUUUUGUUUUUUGUUUUUGCUGGCAAAUUUUAGUUAGAAUUUGAGUGGACUCUAUCUCUGUAGCUUGAAAUGGCUCUAUUGCUAUGUCAUCUGUUGCUGGCAAUUUAUUUCUCUCAAGUGCUUUAAGUGCAAUUUCCACUUUCUAAAAUUAAGGGCCCAUCUUCAGAUGAUUUUUCCUUUAAUAAAUCUGACUUCAUUAAAUUUCUUGUACACAAUUGAUCAAUUUAUUGUUUCCAUCAUAUCUUUUAUUUCUGUAGUGUGUUCUGCUGGUCAAAUAGCAUGGCCACUCUUGGUUUAAAUUUCCCUUUGAUUCCUUUGAUCUUGAAGGUUAGGCUUCCUGUUAUUCCUUUUUUGUUGUUAUUUUCCAUUUUUCUGCAUUGGUUAUUAUCAUAUUUCUCUUUGUUCUGGCACAUGAGAUACUAAGCAAUUGCAUUUAGGAUUCUUAUCCCAUUUCUCUCACCUUUUCCUUUUGCUUCUUGUCUGUCCUCACAUGUAACCUGAAGAGACUUUCUUCACAUUGCAUUUUCAUAUAGUGCUCUACUUUAGAAUUUACAUUCUUUUUUAAGAACUUUACUCUGAUUAAUAGUCCAUGGUCUUUGCCACGGUUUGCUUCUAGUCUUGUUUUUGUAGAGAGCAUGGAGCUUCUCCAUCUUCUGCUUUCAACUAUGCAACAGUCUAUUUGUAAACAACAAUAUGCAUAUUCUGUAAAGGAUGGGAGUGAUAACAAAUCAUACCUAUCCAUUUAUCAAACACACACAACUUAGAAGGUGGAUGCAAAAAAGCCCACAAAAAUUUUCCAGGAACCAUCUCCUUGUGUACCAAUCUGGACAUGGCUUGCAGAAAAGUUGGUGUUUUUAGCCAUGUUCUAGAAUAGAGACUUUGACUCUGAUUUCUUUUUUCCCUAGCGUAUUGUAUUAGUCUUAUUUAUUUUUAAAAUAACAGGAGUGAUUCAACAAGCCAGAAAUGUAACGUGUGAAUUUGGUAAGCACAGUUGUCUAAAAUGUUUGUGUUGUGUACUAUCUUCCAUAACAUAGAUGCUUUGCCUGGAAUUGAUAACAGACAGUAAUUCCUGAACAAUUUAUGUGACUUGUAACACCACUCCCAUCUAGCUUUGUGCAUUUGAUUGAUUUUGCGUCCUUUGCUUCCUGAAAAAUUGGCAUCCUUGGCCUUUUUCCUGGAUAUUUUACCUGGAAGAGAUCCAAAAAAUAGUUUAUAUGAUUCUUUUUUUGUGGCUGGAUCUGGAUUAUUUUUUUCCAGUGGAUCUGGUACCUCUAUUUCCACAUGAAGUACUCGGACACUGUGGUUAGUACUAUCAAUGAAAGAUAAUCUCAAAUAAAAUGUAUUAAUCUUUAAGCUUAAGAUGAAAAGCACAUGUCUGUAUUUUAGGUGGAUUAAUAAUCAGAGCACCUAAAGCUUCAGAGGAAUCCCACUGAUGCAUUGCAGUACACCAAAAUACUGGGAGUUACUCUGGACUGUGCUUUGACUUAUAAGAAGCACUGUUUUAAAUCAAGCAAAAAGUGGGUGCUAGAAAUAAUAUCAUACGAAAGCUGACUGGCACAACCUGGGGAUCACAACCAGAUUCAUGACGACAUCUGCCCUUGAGCUUUGCUACUCUGCUGCUGAAUACGCAUGCCCAGUGUGGAAUAUAUCUCGCCAAGUUAAAACAGUGGAUGUGACUCUUAAUGAGACAUGCCGCAUCAUCACAGGAUGUCUACGCCCUACACCACUGGAGAAAUUAUACUGUUUAGCCGGCAUUGCGCCACCUGACAUCCGUUGGGAAGUAGCAGCCUGUAACGAAAGAACCAAGGCAUUGACAUCUCUGGCCCAUCCUCUGUUCGGAUAUCAGCCAGCAUGCCAACGCCUUAAAUCAAGAAACAACUUCCUGAGAUCCACAGAGAUACUUGCAAGAACACCUCAGCAAGCAAGAGUCCAAAAGUGGUAGGCUAAAACCUGGGACCUCAAUCAAUGGCUGAUACCAGAUGAGAACCUCCCCCUUGGGCACACAGAAGACUGGGCGACUUGGAAGGUGUUGAACAGACUGUGCUCUGGCACCACAAGAUGCAGAGCCAAUCUUAGGAAAUAGGGCUACAAAGUGGAGUCCAAGAUAUGCAAGUGUGGAGAAGAGCAAACCACAGACCAUUUACUACAAUGCGACCUGAGCUCUACCACAUGCACAAUGGAGGACCUUCUCACAGUGACAUCAGAGGCACUCCAAGUGGCCACUCCUGGUCAAAGGACAUGUAGCAUAAUGCCAAGUUUUUAACUUUGUUUAUGUUUUAAAUACAUUAUAACUGCAUCCUGAAUUCGCUUCUGACACAAUAAAUAAAUAAAAUCUUUAAGCUA